UGAAACUGGCCAACAAGCACUAGCAUCAUUGUUCUGGCCUGUGAAUUCAGAGUUUCGUGCCUGGUGUGACCACACAGGCAUGUUGAGGGGCAGCACAAGACACCUUUCACAUGGUGCUAAGCCCUUUGCCCUCAAGCCUUUACUGGGGUCAAACCCUUCAUUGUUUGCUCUUUCUAUUCAACUUCCUGGACCUGCAACAGGAGGAGGAGAGCAAGGGUUAAAUGGGCCUGGCAGGAUUUAUGCCCUACCAGAAAAGACAGCAAAAUUGCAGAAGCAGCAGCAGAAGUCAGUGAUCCUCCCACCAACCCACAGCUCACACAGCAGAAAAGACCAACACUCCAAACCUGGAAACCAGAAGUAUCAGCUGGAGCAGGAAGCCUUUCAUGCUACAGCCUGAACUUCAAGCCCCACGAUACUUUGCCCCAGCCAGCACUUCAAUUUUGAAGCUGGCAUGAUGGCAGCAUGGUAUUGGAUGUCAUCAUCAGAUUCAGUUCAACCCAUGACAGUGUGUUAGUCACAUGGUAGUUAUGUCCUCCAGCUGUCUGUGAGUGUUGUGUGAUGCCUGAAAGUGUCCUGCCAGAAA